UACGUAGGGUGCGAGCGUUGUCCGGAAUUACUGGGCGUAAAGGGCUCGUAGGCGGUCUGUCGCGUCGGGAGUGAAAACACGGGGCUUAACCCCGUGCCUGCUUCCGAUACGGGCAGACUAGAGGUAUGCAGGGGAGAACGGAAUUCCUGGUGUAGCGGUGAAAUGCGCAGAUAUCAGGAGGAACACCGGUGGCGAAGGCGGUUCUCUGGGCAUUACCUGACGCUGAGGAGCGAAAGUGUGGGGAGCGAACAGG
rnacentral:rRNA from 1 species